UACCCAACUCCAAAUAUGCAAUGCGUUAGAACAUUCAAAAAAUAGAUGUUGAAUAGAUUCCUCUUGCUUUUCACAAAGCGAACACAUAGAACAUAUAUGCAAACCCUUAUUCUGAAUAUGUUGAUCUGUAGGAAGUCGCCCAUGAAAAUUUUUCCAGAGUACUAGAGUUUUGGAAGGCGGAAUAGAUGAAGACCAAAUGAAUUUACCCCAACCACCUGGAACUCCUGGUUCCAAGAAAAAAG
rnacentral:lncRNA from 1 species